rnacentral:rRNA from 1 species
GAUGAACGCUGGCGGCGUGCCUAAUACAUGCAAGUCGAGCGAACAGACGAGGAGCUUGCUCCUCUGACGUUAGCGGCGGACGGGUGAGUAACACGUGGAUAACCUACCUAUAAGACUGGGAUAACUUCGGGAAACCGGAGCUAAUACCGGAUAAUAUAUUGAACCGCAUGGUUCAAUAGUGAAAGACGGUUUUGCUGUCACUUAUAGAUGGAUCCGCGCCGCAUUAGCUAGUUGGUAAGGUAACGGGUUACCAAGGCAACGAUGCGUAGCCGACCUGAGAGGGUGAUCGGCCACACUGGAACUGAGACACGGUCCAGACUCCUACGGGAGGCAGCAGUAGGGAAUCUUCCGCAAUGGGCGAAAGCCUGACGGAGCAACGCCGCGUGAGUGAUGAAGGUCUUCGGAUCGUAAAACUCUGUUAUUAGGGAAGAACAAAUGUGUAAGUAACUAUGCACGUCUUGACGGUACCUAAUCAGAAAGCCACGGCUAACUACGUG